AACUAAUGGCUGUCACAUCAAAACACUUUCUUGUGUUGAGAUUUUUGAUGUUGGCAUUUCUUUUCAUGACUUUUGUUCCAUGUUAUGCUCCUGGUCCAGCAUGUCUAGGAGAUUGUAAUGCAAUAAAGGAGGAUUGCUUAACUCUUUGCCAAAGACUACACUUUGGAACUGGUUCUUGCAUAGGAAAUCCAUCUAGGUGUUGCUGUCAUAAUUAGUUUAUUUAUUUAAACGUUGGUAGUACUCCCCACACCACUAAGUUAGUUGUUGUCUCGUGUAAACAAUUUCACGAGGAUUUUGAUUUUAAUAAAACUACCAAAGUCGAAAAUGAAUUAUCCCUAUAUCCUCGAAGUUCUUCAUCUUAUUAUUUUU